AGCACGAUUACGCUGUCGUAUAAAUUACUAUAAUCGAAAUAAACAUUUCCUUUAUACAUGUAACCUCCAAGAUUUUUACUUCUUGCGAUGAGGAGCACUUUUCAAGUAGUUUGUGUUUACUUUGACAAGUUUCCAGAAUUUGUGACGUCUGCAGACUAGUGUCACUCGGAGCUCCGUUGUACAUAUCGAAAGAACUCACCCGAGGACUACCGAUGAGGUUUAGUCGUCCAUAUCCGGCCCCGCAGAUGAUUUCACGAGUCAGGCAUAUUGUGUAAUAUCUGUAGUGAGCCAUGUACACUAUAUAAAAACAGGAUAGGUCGAAAUUUCGUGAUAUUUCAAAACUUAGCCAGUACUACCUGUUGUAGACUAAUUUGCACGAGAAACUCCAUCGUCCAUGGAUGUUGCUGCUAUAUUCUUCGCAACCUUUGCCUUCCUUAUAGUGGUGGGAUUUGUGAUUUUCUAUCUGAUUGGGCAGGAUAAGUUAAGACUGAGAGAUGGGUGUAUCUUUCUAAUCGACUGUCUCAAGUCUCUCUGUCCGUGUACACGUAGCACAGAGCAGGUGACUUCAGAUAUGAGAGAUACCAGAGAAAUACACGUUAAUAUAGCAACUAUUGAUGAAAACGAACGUGGUAUUUCUGACGUUCAUUGCAAUCCGCCGUCAUAUGACUCUGUAGCAGCAGACAUAUUACGUGAUAAGGAUUUACCAAGAUAUGAGGAUGUUAAACACAAUAUAGAAGGAUGAUUUCACACCUUGCAGCUUUAAUAGAUGAGAACAAUGCAUUCUACAAUCCCCCAGAACCGUGUUCAAUUUCCAUUCAACUCAUUGAUAUGGAGAUAUUGGAGAUGUUUUCUGUACAGUGCCUGAAUGUCUCCCAAACAACAUUGGUACAUUUUACAAACAUCUCUGUACCAGUACAAUAGGAAUGAUUACCCCAUUGUCAGAAUUGUUGAAGAAUAACCCCUCAGUCUUGAGGUAUUGUUUAAAAAAUUUGGACUUGGUUUUUAUAUUUUCCUAAAAUUUUUUUAAACCUCAUGGGUUGUUCACCAACAAAUUCCUCAUGGGUAUUGAUACAUAUAUUUUAAGUACCCACUAGCAACUAACUGAAUGCAGCUUUACUUGCACAUUCCCACAUAAAUAUUAGAUGAUAAUUUUUUGUUAUCUUUUAAGGUAGAUCUAUACUCGGCCUUAAAUGGACUCAAUCAUGAAAAAAUUGCCUUUACAAGAUAAAUAUAUAUUCCAGCCAUAAAUAGACAUUGAAAAAAAUAUAUGUUGACAUGCUAUUUUCAUUGUUAUUGCUUCUCAAAAGUAAGCACCCCAUCAACAUUAAGGAAAAUGCACUCCUCCUUCUUUAUUUUUCUUAUUAAUUAUUAUUUUCCCAAACAAAUGGGCUGUGAUAAGCAACAUAAACUAUAUACCCUUUAUUUAAUGGUAUGUAAUCAUUUAUUCUAAUAAAUUGGAAAUAUACUCUUAUAUUAAGUAGUAAAUGGAGAAUUCUGCAUACUUUUACUAUAUUAUGAAACUUCCACUAUAUAGGUCCCCAAUAAAUAAAAUAGCUAUUACCCACCAAAAAGCAAAAGCUUUUAAAUUAAUGGCACACCCUCCAGAGAGACAAAGACGUUUUCUCUGUUCUACAUUGUACCUAUAGUGUGGUUCAUACCAACGCCAUAAAAAUUUAAGGGAUAUGCUCACACCUUCAUUUCAGAAUAAUCAACCUGCAUGAUAAUUGUGAAGUGCAAAUAGACUUCUGAUGAGGCGGAUCUGCAUGCAGCUAAACUUCAAUCUAUCGAUCAAUCCAAUCAAUUUGCUCAAUUUUCACACCGCCGAAACACUUUAAAAUUAGUGUAGAGUCAAGUGAUUGUUGAGGUAUGUGGCUGAUGGGAGCCAUAUAUAUUCUUAGAUUUAUGGGGGCUAGUGUUGAAGAAGUAAUUUUGGAGAAAUCCUGUAAUCCGAUACACGAGGUUUGGGACCUUUCAGCGAACAUAGUAGAUAAACGUGUAGUGAAUGGAUAAGUUGGCUAAUUUGUAAUGUCAUUAGAUUUCUGUAAAACUCCAUUGGCGAUGAUGAAAUCGCAGUAAAUCAAAGAAUUGGGAGCCAUGUUUCCUUCCUUGUUAAGCUCCACUGACACACACACAUUAUAUUCUUAAGAGCUGUUCUUGAUUUCGUUUUUUAUUUAAUAUUUUCGUUUUUAUUUAUUAAUUUCGUUUUUUAUUUAAUGAUUUCGUUUUUUAUAUAAUAAUUUCGUUUUUUAUAAUAAUUUCGUUUUUUAUAUAAUAAUUUCGUUUUUUAUUUAGUUUUCGUUUUUUAUAUAAAAAAUAAUUUCGUUUUUUAUUUAGUUUUCGUUUUUUAUAUAAUAAUUUCGUUUUUUAUAUAAUAAUUUCGUUUUUUAUUUAGUUUUGGUUUGCACUAAUGGGCUUCCGUAAGUAUUGACAAAAAAAAAAUUUAAAAAGUUAUUUUAUCUGGCGGCCGCCACUUAAUUUAUAUAUGUCGGCUCGCUGAGUGAUUUAGAAUAGUACACAAACACGCAGCAUUGUUUUUCAGAACGUAUAGGGACAGCCGGAGGAGAAAUUGUCUUCUACAAUUGUUGACAAGCAGAAAAGGAACCUAAAAUGUCUCUUUUGCCCUAACUUCGUACUCCUAAAUUGAAGGGAGGGGGCUCCGUUCAUUCUUCAAUUGAUCAGUUAAUUAUUAUUACAUUUUUACCAUUCAUUACUACCACCAAAAGAGUGCGGUGGGGGCCAAUCCGCCAAUUAAUCUUAUUUCACAUGUGAAAAUAACUUAGUUUGCAUGUGAAAAUAACAGAAAUUGAACGUUUUCAAAAAAAUGGAGGGUCAGCCCCGUGGUUCUACGUAUUUAACAGUACAAUCGAAAAACAAUAAUUUAAUGCUCUUAAUUGUAUAUACAUAUAUCACAUACAAAUUACUAAGCAUUGGGGAGGGAUUGCACUCCUUUCAUUUUGAGAGAGAGUGAGAGAGAGAAAGAGAGAGGAGUUGAAUAACUGACGACAGCCAUAUAAAUGAUUUAAAUUGAGUGGCAUCCGCCAUAUAAAUUAAGUGGCGGCCGCCAGUUAAUUCAUCUGGCGGCCACCAGUUAAAUUAACUGCGGCGCCACAUGAAUUAACUGGCGGUCGCCAGAUAAUAAAUGGCAGCCGCCAGUUAAUAAGUGGCGGCUGCCAGUUAAAUUAAGUGGCGGCCGACACAUAAAUUAAG